AAGCCAUUUAAUUGUUCUUUGAUGGCUGUCGACUUUCUUAAUUGUUAUAUUUCUGUCUAUUUUACUUUUAUUUUCGUAUAAAUAGAUUAUUGACUUAAAUGGGCUUAAGAUUACAUAAUUUCAUCUUAUUAUCAAAGUUUCUCUGUGUAUGAUUGAUAGCCGGUAAAUUUAUCAUUAUACGCUUUUAAUCUUUUUAACCAAUAACUAUCUGAUAAAGUAUAUACAAGUUCUUUUUUUGGGGCACGUAUGAAAUAAUGAUUAUUAACAACGGAACACGUCCACGGUAAUCAUAGCAAAGAGCCUCACGAUAUUAAAAUCAAGUCAAUUUCUACCUCUUUAUUAUAGUAAAUUACUGCUACAUUUAUGGAAAUUGUACCAUAUUUCGAAUGUUCAUUAGAAACCAGCGCUCUUUCUUUCUUUUUCUCUCCUUAUGCGAAAUUGUAUAGGAAAAUCGCAAUAGGACAACAACGAAAAAAAAAGGGAAAUAGAAUCUCUUUCGUCCUAUGUUUGCACAUAGAAUGAUCAAUAAAACAAGGACAUUUUUAUUAAAAUUAUUACAUCACUAAAUGAGAUAAUAUUCCGUUAAGAAAAUAUGAGAUAAGCAAAAAUCUGUGUUUUUGAAAAGUAACAUCUGCUCUUAUCAAUAGUAUAAUUUAUUUUUUAGUAUAUUUAUCUCAAGACCUAUAAAAGAGUAUUUUAAUAGUUACUACCUACAUAAAAUCUGAUACAAACGCUUAUAGACGCUGAACAGCGAAGGUAUUAACAUUAUUUCGAAUAAAUGUAUAUAUCUAUAUUGAUAUACGAAUGAAUAGCGUAGAGUUAAUAGAAAAGGUAUUUGUCAAAAGAUAAUAUUAAUUCAAAAAUAUAGCUCUAUAUUUACUUUUCAAAUUUUGAAUAAGAGAUCUUGAAUAUUACAUAUUGGGAAUAUUAUAUAAUUAACUGUUCUUUUCUUCUUCUUUUUUUUAUAUCAAAUUUUUUCUCUCCUAGUUACAUGUCCUUUUGAUCUUUGACUGUAUCAAAAUGCAUUUUUAUCUUGUACUAUGAUUCCUAAAGAUGUAAAAGAAAAACGAAAAAAUAAAAACUUUCAACCUACAUUUGUACUACUUUUUUUAUGAAUAAGAUAUCUAUUAAAAAUAGAAUAAUAAAUAGCAUACUGUAUUUUGGUACUUUAUUAUUUGUAUUUCAUCUAAUGAUAAGGUGGAACAAGAUAAAUUAAUAUAUAAAAGCUUUCUAUCGCUUCUAUACUGUCCUCUUUAAACAAUUAAUUUCGUUAGAACUUUUAUAAAUUAAUUAAUAAAGGUAAAAAAAAAAGACAGAAAAUAAAUGGGCAAAGCGAUAAAGAACAGUUAAUUUUUAACCUUCAACAGUAACCUUGAGUAGGCAGCGAGUAGAUGUUGUUUUCUGUAAUUAAUACGAUGGACAUUUUUUUGUGUAAAUUUGCUAUGAAAAAUUAACUUAUUAUAAUAUUGAACACGUCAGUUCCUUUUACCUGUUCAAUUAAGGUUUCAACCAGGUAGCCUGAUUAGAUUUCUAAAGAUUUGUUCGGACUAAGGGGAGGUUAAUACCCUAAAUUGUUGUGCAAUGUAAUUGAUCAUUUAUGAAAUAUUGAUUGAUAUUUGUAGUUGAAAAAAAAAAGUCUUUUCUUUUUGUUAGGAAAUCUUUAGUAAAGUUAUUAAGCGGUGUAAAUCAAUAAAUAUAAUAUAAACAGUAGUACGUAAAUAAAGUAAUUUUAAACAAUAAUGCUUGUGGGAGAUUAUCCACAUGUCAAGACAAAAAAGUUCCAAGUUCAUAAAGUAGGUCGAUAAAGAUUUCUUGGAACUUUUCUUUAUCUAGAACUAAUCCAUUGAAUUUUGUAUGAUUAAAAAAGGUUUUUAUUCAUCCUUUUAGCUGGGCCACGCGACAUGCCCCGCUGAAAUCCUAUGUUACCUACAAGGACGCCAGAUUCGCACAUGCGCCGCAACCCGGAUUGUCACGUGACCAUACCAAAUUACUACCUGCAAACUAUUGUUCCACCACACUUCUAUAACGACCUGAAUCUACUCGGCUAUGUCAACCCGGCUCAUAGACGAUUAGACAGACCAUAUCCAGUCCCGGCUCAUCCUCCUCUUAAUAGAAAUGUACAUAGGCCAGUCCAAAAUGAUGAUUCGACUGAUUUGUAUCCGGCUCACUUUCGGAAGGGUUCUAUUAUCGAAUUAGCCGACGGAAGUCUGACUCGGGUAGAAGAUUUAAGAGAAGAGGAUUUACGAAAGAGCGCAGAAUUAUCCAACGAAUUUCAUCUAGACACUUCUACACUUUUAAAAAUUGAACGAGUCCAUCAAUCUAAUGUCAUCCAAUUAGUAUUUGGGGUAGGAAAGAGUAUGAUUGAGGAGAGAUGGAAAAAAAAACAAAAAGAUAAAAUGAAGAAAAUUCUUUCUAUUCUUCUAUCCGUUGGGGCAGUUAUCCGAUGUCCCCCUGAAAAUAUAUACGUCAUUUCAGUUCGUUCUACGGUCGAUCAUCCUAGAUUAGAUUUUGGUCAAGGUUAAUCGGAAAUUCAAAACUGAUCGACUGCAGGUUUUUAUAACGUACAAUACAGUGAAAAAAGAGAACAGUGUUUUUUUAAUAAAGAGAUCUUAGGUCAUAUUAUUCGUAUAGCUAUCAUUUCUAAUUUUAGAUGAAUAAAUCUACAGGUUAGAGUACUGGCGGCAAUAGAACAUCCAUUUUUUGUGCUGAAAAAAGGCUGGUCAUCCCACGAUCCUCAAGCGACCUUACGUCGUUAUGGUCUAUUGUGCGACGGUUUAAACAUUGGGGAUGUAUGUAUCUCCCUAAGGCCUAAGGACGAAUCGCUAGAGGAGGCAACUGUCGACGUAGUCGGCGAUAAUCCUGCAUGAUAGACAACCUUCAAUUCCAAUCUACCUCUAAAUUGGAGACGCAGGCGCCACCAAGUGACGCGACUUUAGGUUCCUCAACUUGAAAAGGGUGAUGAAGGACUAAUCAUUUUUUUUUAAUUUUUAUUUUUGUGCCAUUGUUUUUUUUUUCUUUUCUUUGUUUUAAAAAAAAACCCUCCCACGGUUUUCUAGCCCUGCGAAUGGGAAUAAAAACUUUAUCACGAUGUGUAGAAUAAUCCUCUGCAAUGUAUUAGAUUUUCAUUAUGAAAGAAAAAAAACAGCAACAACAAAACAAACAAACAAAAGCCAAACAAACAAAUUAAAGGAAAGACAAUUUAGUUUUUUUUUCAACUUUAUUCAAAGUGAAAUAAAUGGGUCAGGAAGUCAUACCCGACAGUUGUUUUUGUUACACAAUUUAAAAUACUCGUGUUACUUCUUCUUUAUUCUUUUUACUUCUUCUACUUCAUCUAACACUAAUGUAACGCUCCCAAAGGUUAUGUAAAUAAGGCGUUUCUUGCUAAAAUGUUGGGAAAUUUGAUUUCAAUAUAAUGCCCUUCCAUCAACGACCUACUUCAAUAAAAAAGAGAAUCCCUCUAGAUAAGUUAGACGUUCUUAGUAGGGAAAAAUGAAUCGAUAAAUUAGUGGAGACGCUUUAGCUUCUGAUUGCGUAAAAAAUGGAUUAUUGAAUAAAAUAUAAAGAAAUUUUAAAACAUUAAACUUACUUCAAGCUUAAUGUUUCUUGAAGCUUAGAAAUAGAAUUUUCUUACGGAGAACUCUCUUUUAUCAAUUCAAAUCAGGCGUCUUUCAACGCCUUUGAGGGCGUUCGAAUUCUGGAAUAGAACGAUUAGGGGCUUUGGUGGUUUUAAUGGGAUAUUUUAUGGCUUUAUAUUUUUCGUUGUUUUAAACGAGCAAAUAAAAGAAACGACAAAAUAAAAAAAUAAAACAUUUAGCUCUACUUUAAUACAAAAGAGGGAAAAUAGAAGACAAACAUUAAGUUACCUUUGCGUGUGAAUUGUCAUGAAUUUAAUACAAAAGUAAUGUCAGAUAUACGCUUUUAAAACUCUUUCUUAGUCUGUUAAAAGUUAGAGAGUAAUAUAAAUGAUUUCAUUCUAAAAGAGUAGUUUAUAUGACAUCUUGUGGUUGUAUAUACAAAUAAUAUAGCAAUGUCGUUUUGAAAGCUUAUACAAUAUAUUUUAUCUAAUAUAAGAGUUUUAGAAUGAGAAAAUAACUGUUAAUCACAGUUCAUAUGCGAGCGAUAAGAUAAUAUUUUUUAAAUUAAACAAUUUAAAAGUGACCUUGC
rnacentral:misc_RNA from 1 species